rnacentral:rRNA from 1 species
AACGAACGCUGGCGGCAGGCUUAACACAUGCAAGUCGAACGGACACAUCGGGGUGAGUGGCAGACGGGUGAGUAACGCGUGGGAAGCUACCCUUGUCUACGGGAUAGCUCCGGGAAAGGGGAAUUAAUACGGAAAAGGUCCUGAGGGAGGAAGAUUGUGCGUGGAAGGAUGAGCCGGCGUUGGAUUAGCUAGUUGGUGGGGUAAAGGCCUACCAAGGCGACGAGCCAUAGCUGGUCUAAGAGGAUGAUCAGCCACAUUGGGACUGAGGCACGGCUCAGACUCCUACGGGAGGCAGCAGUAGGGAGUAGUAGACAAGGGGCGCAAGUCUAAACCGGCCAUGCCGUGUAAAGUAUGAAGGCCCGAGAGUUGGAAAGCUCUGUCAGUGGGGACGAUAAUGACGGUACCCACAGAAGAAGGCCCCGCUAACUUCGUG